GGAUUUCUGGUUGGAGAUCCUUCCCUUGUGGAGUUUUCCCUGCAAGCCUAGAUGUUCAGAGGUUUGCAAAGCUUAAUAAAAAAACAUGGAUAUAAACAAGCACUCUGUGGUUUGUGUGGUUCCCCCAUUUCUCAGAGGCUCACGCAUCAGCAAGCAUUGCAUAUAGACAGAACCAAACCUUAGUGAGCAGAGAGCAGCAAGCAAGAACUGGAGGGAGUAAAUUGAGAGACUGCAAUAAUAGUAAUAUUCUGAAGGAGUAACCUACAGGAGCCGGUCCAUUUGCAUGAGUAAGAAGGUGGAGCCAGUGAGAGAAGAGCUGUUUGCUGAUGUGAUGAAGUUAUGCCUAUGGGCUCUGGUGCUACUUAUUUCUUGUCAGAUUUCAUUAUAAUCAGCCAAGAUAAAUACUGGGACAGUGGAGCUCUAUCCAUACAAAAUCAUGUCAGUCUUGAUCUGAGACAGACUAAAUACACAUGUGUAAGCAGCAUUAUCUCCUACAACUCUUCAGUCAUCUCUGCUACCUAUACCUUAAGAAAAAUAUUACUACUUGGAUUCCCUUAGAUUGUUGAAGUGGCUCUGUUCCAGGAAAAAUAAUUCCACACCAGUGCAUGUAUGACCUGACAUAACUCCGAAAAUGUGAAAGAUGGUAUGCUAAUGAAGCAGGCUGUGUUAAUUUGAUGAAAUUAAAAAUCAAGGCAGUAAGUAGGAAGUCAAGUUUUGCAAUGUGACAAGAUACAGGAAGGGCAACUCUGCUGGCAGACAUGUAAGAAGAUGUGAAUUCAGAUGAUGGUGGAGCC
rnacentral:lncRNA from 1 species